AAGAGUGUAAAUCGAUUUUAGGUGCAUUAAGAGCUUCAAAUUGGUUGUUGAUGGUGGUUGGUGUAUUGAUGGCAAUGACAAUAUUGUGAAUACUUGAGGAAUAUGAGGGUGAUAGAGUAAAACCAUCCACUCAACACCUCUUUCGAUUUUUUCAUAAUUCCUGGCAAUGACAAUAUUGUGAAUACUUGAGGAAUAUGGGAACACUAAACUAAACCAUCCACUCAACACCUCUUUUGGUUUUUUCAUAAUUCCUCUUCUCUCCACUCAAGGCGCCGCCUGACUCAGAUCUGUGUCUCUCCGGUGGCUGGGCUCUUCGCCGGCGCCAGAGAGACCCCCCCCCCCUCUCUUCUUUUCUUUUAUUUGGCUUGUCGAUGCGGUGGUAUUAUCUGGCUUUGGAGAAGGUGACGAGCCUUGUCGGAUCUCCAUGUCUUCCGUGGUCGUUUUCUGGCCCUUGUUCAAGUAUUUCGUUUUGGCCUUUGCCCAAGAGGAGCUUGUGCGGAAGAUGUAUCUUGAUUUGCUGUGGACAUCAAUCGUAUGUAGCAACAAGGGUCCUACUUGGCUGUAUCAGUUACUGCUGUUGGAGUCGUAUGUGAGACUCAUCGUAAGAGAAGAGAGGUUUAAGAGCAACUCCGUUCUUCGUGCUUGGUGUCUCACAAUCUCACGCCUCUCUUUGCUCUUUGAAUUUACAUUUUCCCACAUUUGGAUGGGAUUUUAAUUCAUGAUGCCUAUUGGUGGUUUUCCUAUUUAAAUUUUAUUACUAGCCGGUUUGGCUCAGUGUUGUAAGAACAUUUUGAAAUAUAAGCGUUAAAAAAAAGAGAGUAAAAUAUGCAUUUUCGAAAAAAA